AGAGAGACAGGGAAAAGUGGGCAAGAGCUUUUGUUGUGACUUCUGCAAGAAGGAACAGGUGGGGCAGGUGUAGCAGGCUGAGGAUUAACUAGUUUGAACAAUUGCAUAGCAGUUGUCCAUAAUCGUCUGGUCCCUGACCCUGGGUGAUUAGGGCAGAGGGAGAGUGGCCUCAAGGGUGGUUGGGUGAGGACUCUGAAUUCGCCACUUUGCAUUUGAAAAACUGGCUUGACAGGUGAAAUAUUUACUAUCUCUAGGAAAUGACUAAUGCCAGGAGGUCAAUUCCUCCAGGAUCAACAAGGUCCCGGAUGUUAAAGCAUCGGAAGUACAGAAAAUAAGAUAUGUUACUAUGGCAGAAAAAGCUGGAAUUGAUGAUGCUGGCCGAGAAAUCUCUACUCCAUCCACAUUCUUGGGGAAACCAUGGUGAAUCCUGCCACUUGGCAUCAGGGCUGCUGAGGAGGACGAUCCAGGGCUGGCGAGACAAAGAACCACAUGGUGACGUGGGCAUGAUGGCGGUGCCCAGGAGUCCUGAGGUGCACGUCACCCUAAACCACAGCCUGCCUGCCUUGUAAGUUAAAUCAUAAAGCCAUGCGGAGGACACGGUGUCUGUCUUAGUGUCUGCACAUUUGGCCUCUCAGGAAAUGCUGCUGUUGCUGGAGACUAGGCUCUGAGGGUCUGGCAGAAGGGCCCUUGGAAACCUCGAGUAACGUCCAGCAAGUUCGUUUUACGGUGGAAGAAAAUUCAUUGAAGAAACUCUGAGAGUUCAUGGUAUGUGAUGGCAUUGUUGAGCUGCGUCUUAGGGUCGGAAGACUUUAAUUAUUGGAUUGUGGGGCUCGGCAUCUUUUUCAGGGUUUGGGAGUCGGCCGCGAUAAAAGAAAAGGCAUAUUUUCUAGGACAGGGCGUCUCAAAUUUUGCUGUGCGUCAUUGGUUGGGGGCUUGUCGUAUGGGUUGGGUUUUCUUCAGGGGGUUAACUUCAGGACGUGGCUAAGCGCAAGAGUGAACUACACCUGCUAACCACCCCUCAGAAUUAGGCAGUGUCCUUGGCCAGACACAGACAGCACGAGGAUGAACCAGGCUUCCCUACAUGGAGGGGGCUGUCCUAGCAAGACUCAGGCCAUAGAACAGCAGAGAAGGCAUGUUCCCUGCAGGCGACCUUGACCCACGAGGAGGGAUUCUCUUGAGGAGGUCUCUUUGGGAGCUUCUUAAGGCCACAGAAGUCAGGCCACACACUUCAUAAGCUAUGAUCUGGUGGAUUGGGGACAGGGGGAUAGUUCAGAGGGCAUAGUUCAGAGGUGGAUAGUUCAGAGGGCAGACACUGCAGUCAGAUUUAUUGGGUUCAAACGUCAGCUCUACUCAUUUCUAGUACCGUACUAGCUAACCCGAGCUGCUAUAACCAGGUACCACAGACUGGGCUGCUUAAAAACGGAAAUUUAUUUCCUCACAGUUCUGGAAAGCAGACGUCAGGGAUCAAGGUGUUCAUGGGGUUAGUUUCCUGUGAG